rnacentral:rRNA from 1 species
CGUAGGGCGAGCGUUGUCCGGGAUGAUUGGGCGUAAAGGGCGUGUAGGCGGGUGCGCAAGUCGGGCGUGAAAGCUGCAGGCUCAACCUGUAUGAGCGUCCGAAACGGUGCAUCUUGAGUGCGGUAGAGGGAAGCGGAAUUUCUGGUGUAGCGGUGGAAUGCGUAGAUAUCAGAAGGAACACCGGUGGCGAAGGCGGCUUCCUGGGACUGCCACUGACGCUGAGGCGCGAAGGCGUGGGAGCAAACAGGAUU